rnacentral:lncRNA from 1 species
UUAAAUUUAAUAGCACGGAUCCACUUUCUGGUGAUGAAGUGGACGACAGUGCACAGUUCAUCUCAUCCGUGUGUUGGCGUGGUCAGUCCUCUACCUUAGUUGCUGCAGAUCCGCUUUCUGGUGAUGAAGUGGACGACAGUGCCCAGUUCAUCUCAUCGGUGUGUUGGCGUGGUCAGUCGUCUACCUUAGUUGCUGCAAAUUCUAUGGGAAAUAUCAAGCUCUUGGAGAUGGUCUAAUGUGGUUCAAGUCCCUAAAGUCUUAGCUGUUACUUUAAGAAGAGGAAAUAUGUGAAGGAGAAGAGUGUGGCACAGGUAAAUGAGGGGAUUACACCAAGAAAUUGUUGUAGCUGAUAUAAACUAGAUGCAAUACUACGGUAACAAGGAAGUUGCCAUCAAGAAACGAAUAUUUUUGCAGUUAGUUCAUAGCGGAAGCAACUCUCUGGAAGUAUGAGAUUAUAUCUCAUAGCGGAAAGUGUUGUAAAUAAAUAUUGGUUUUGGAGAGUGAAGAGUUGCAUUGUUAGUUCUGUUUGUAUAUUCUAUAAUUUUGAAGUUCUUAAGAAAUUCUCCGGAAUGUUAGAUCUUGGCGUGAUCACGUCUUAGCACAUUCAUUUUCCAGCAUAUUCUGUUUAAGAUGUUUAUGCUGUUCAAGUGUUCAUGACCAGCCAAUUGGUUUGACAUAAAGCAUGCACAAAUUAUAACUACUAAGUUAUGGAGCACAUCUUUCCAAUGGGACAUUGUUGGCUGGUGAGAUUUGAUAAUUCUCCUCCAUUUCAUGUCAUUUCUGAAACUGUUUUGG